rnacentral:lncRNA from 1 species
UGACAAAAGAAAUGAAUUACAGUAAAAGCUCCUUAAUUCGAACUGGGUUAAUUCGAACAAACAGUUCAUUCGAACCGACGUCCUGGUCCCGACACAGCCCUGUGUAUUUCAAUGGGGGGAAACUCCCGAUAUUUCGAACGCGUUGG